UACAGAGGUCCCAAGCGUUGUUCGGAUUCAUUGGGCGUAAAGGGUGCGUAGGUGGCGUCGUAAGUCGGGUGUGAAAUCUCGGGGCUUAACUCCGAAACUGCAUUCGAUACUGCCGUGCUUGAGGACUGGAGAGGAGACUGGAAUUUACGGUGUAGCGGUGAAAUGCGUAGAUAUCGUAAGGAAGACCAGUGGCGAAGGCGGGUCUCUGGGCCGAUACUGACGCUGAGGAGCGAAAGCGUGGGGAGCGAACAGG
rnacentral:rRNA from 1 species